rnacentral:rRNA from 1 species
UACGUAGGUGGCAAGCGUUAUCCGGAAUUAUUGGGCGUAAAGGGCUCGCAGGUGGUUCGAUGCGUCGUGCGUGAAAGAACCCGGCUCAACUGGGUGGUGUCGUGCGAUACGGUCGAACUGGAGGCCAGUAGGGGGAUGCGGAAUUCCGGGUGUAGUGGUGGAAUGCGUAGAGAUCCGGAGGAACACCAGCGGCGAAGGCGGCAUCCGUGGACCUGGUCCUGACACCUCAUGAGCGAAAGCGUGGGGAAGGCGAGUCCGG